GGGUGCAGACAGGUAAUUAGUGAGAAGUGCUUGGUACGAAGGGCCAGCGGGCUGCAUUGGUCGGGUUUUUGUCUGGGUGGGUGGGAAGAGGAAACCUCCUAUAAUGGGGAGUCCCUGGCAGGAGAAGGAGUUGAGGGCCGUGCAGUUGAGUCGGGGAACAAGAGGGACAGGCUGGGGCAUGGGGACAGGGAGGGGCCCUGAAGAGUGGAGGGGGCAGUGGGACUUCUUGGGGCCAGUGCUGCUUCCCGGGGGCCCUUCACAGGAGGGGAAGCAGAUACGAUGGAAACAGCAAGAGCGGGACGCCGACCAGGGACACGUCCUCUCUUGGGGACCAGGGAGAAGAGAUGCAAAAGUGGACAAGGUUCAGGGUGUUGAGUGCUCCCCAGAAGCGGAGGGGCUGAUGGGAGACAUGGGCCGGGAGCCCGAUGUCGGGGUUGGGGGUGAUCGCAGGGACGGUGGAUGAGCGUCCAGGGCCGCCGGGGGAGAAUCCCGCGUCGCUGCCGGAGUGAGUGAGUGGAGGUGGUUUGCAGGGGAGAAUAAGUCUGCAGGGGACGAUGUUGUGAUGAUUGAGGGCCGGCUGGAACCCCUGCUGAGUGUGGGGCUGCCAUUCUGAACGUGUUGUUCUUCGGGCACAUUGUUGAAAGGGCAAGCAGUUCCCCCAGAUCAAACCACCUGAAGCUGCUGCUCUGUCUUAGGUCAUCAUGGAUGAUGCUGGAUUUGGAACCUGACCCUUCGGGUGCUGGGAAUUGUCCCAAAGUGAGGGGGCCUCCUGCGCCCACGAGCAGCUCGGCAAGCCACGCAUUGGGGUGGGCGCCCCAUUCUGAGCUUGCCCACUGCCUUGGGGACCUCAAGGUUGUGUCUGCCAUUGGCCAGUCACCCACAAGGCUUUGCAGAAUAUGGCCAAUGGCCGUUUGGGUUAUCUGCAGAGGAGAUCAAAGGAAAUUAAACAGGGUGCCCCCUUAACUCAAGCUUUUGGCAAAUGUCUCAUCCUUUUAGAGAUGAUUUUGAGUUUUGUAGGAUUCAGACUUUUUUAAAAAUUUCUCCCCAAGCAUAUUUCUCUCGUUUUCAAAAGGUUUGGUACUUGGGGGAAAUUUAAUCCACAUGUUUAUGAUUCAUUUCAGCUCCACUCCUUUCAAAUUUAUCUUUGGAGCAUGAGUUGGUACUUGAGAAGCCUUUUAAAGUUCAGGACUUUGAGAACCAGCUAGUUAUUUUGCUAGCUGUGUCUUGAGAACACAUAUCAAAAAUUUUCAUAAGAACUCAAAAGAGCUUGGAGGGUCAUCUGAAAAGAGCAAGCUCCCGACUCUCGGCAGUGUGUUUGCAAUAGCAAAUCCACAGGCAGAGGACAGUGGAAAUACACGGGAGCAGCUUGACGGCGCGGUGGAGAAGGGGCAUCUGUGUUUAUAGGAGCGUCAUCCGGGUUGCUUCAAAUAUUCCCGGAGACAGCAGGCCUGGGAAGCAUCAUGGCAUCUGUGUCCUCCUGGGUAGGCCCCGCUUCUUUUUAUAGCCUCUUCUGCAUAGAUCCUGGAGCUGUUGGAACAUUCCAAAUCACCUCCAGACUCGUGGUCACCCCCCUCGUUUUAUAGAUAAAAUGGAAGCUCCAAAAGGGUUCACUGUCUUUUAAAAAUUUUUUAUUGGAGUAUAGUUGAUUUACAGCGUUGUGUUGGUUUCAGGUGUACAGCAAAGGGAUUCAUUUCUGAUACACACAUAGCCGUUCUUUGCAGGAUUCUUUGCCCAUAUCGGUGGUUACAGAAUUUGGCGCGGAGCUCCCCGUGCUGGGCAGCAGGUCCUUGGUAGUGAUCUUUGAAUAGUGUGUCUGUGUUUACCCCAAACUCCUAGUCAAUCACCCCCUUCCCCACUAACCCUUCCCCUCUGGGACUCCAAAGCCUGUUUUCUAAGUCGGUGAGUCCCUUUCUAUUUUGCGAAUCGGUUCACUUGUCCUGUUUUUUCGAUGGCCCGGCUAAGCGAUACCACGUGGUGUUUGUCUUGCUCUGACUUCACUUAGUGCCAUCAUCUCGCUGCGGUGGCACAGUGUUCACUGCCUCAUGCAAGAUACCCCAGCUGUGCUUUCAGGACGUCUUCAGGCUUCCACCACUUCUCUGUGUGCCAAGGCGAAGAGAUGCUGGAUGGGAGUCCAGGUCACAGCACGGGGACUGUUGGCACCGUUUGGAGGGUAAACGAGGAGGCCGAACACACACACACACAGUGCCCUCUGAGUUUGUCUCCUUUAGAUGGUCCGUUUGGGGUGGUUUCUCCUCGCGGGAAGAAGGUGGGAGAAAGGAGCCCGCAGGCCGGGGCCGGAGGGCUGUCCCGUGGGGAGGGUGGGCCCCCUCCGAGGGGCAGCUCUGUUUCUGCAGCCCUCGCCCACCGAUGCGCUCAGGCAGGUCGAUGACUGUACCCAGGUCCCUUCACUGGGGAUGGCUACGCCGUCCGUGUGCCAGAGUGCGCGCGUUUAUUAGAUGAGUCAGGGGUGACCUUUCUAAGUGUGUUGGAUCCCCCGCAGGGGAAAUCUGUUGACCUUGGACGCCGACUCCGGCCCAAACAACCACACUGGGUUGUUUCGUGUGGUUGUAAGACAUGUGGGAAGUAGAUGCGUAUCAGCGAAGGUCUUGGUCUUUGUUCAGAAAGGAAACUCGUGGUGAAAUUUAUGAAGGUUUUUAUCAGGGUGAGGUCAAUAGAACAUAUUCACACACAUGCCAUAAAAAUAGUGUGUAUUUACUUUGUCAGUGAUUAUGAAAGUCCUAUAUGUUUGUUCAUGGUGGAAAAACUUGAAAAAUGCCAAAAGUGUAAGGAAAUAAAAAAUAAAUCACUUGGAAUUCCACUCCUCAGCCAUAACAGAUGUUAGCAUUGAUGUGUUUCCACCUCUUUACAAUGGGUCUGUCGAGGCUUUUUUUUUUUUUUAUUUUCCCACUGUACAGCAAGGGGGUCAGGUUAUCCUUAGAUGUAUACAUUGCAAUUACAGUUUUUUCCCCCACCCUUUCUUCAAGGCUUUUUUUUUUCCUUUGGUACAAAGUACACAAUUUUCGUAUGUUGUGCACUGUUGUGGUUUUUAAUUGUAAGGGUCGGAAGGAGACAGGCGUUUCAUAAGCGCCAAAGAGCCGUCGCCGAGGUUCUGUUGGGUCUCUGGGGCUGGGAUGGGACCCAGAGCAUUUAUUUGCAGGAUCCACGGCCGCUGAAGUGGAUGGAGCUUCACUGUCGCUACACGGCUGCCCGUUAUCGUGGCCUUGCUUCCUGCAGACAAGUCCCAGCCUCCAUUUUUCUCCAUCUUCUAGCUUCUUCUCACAUGUAGUCUCUCAUUUUUUAGGUUUUUGGCUCAAACGUGGCCCCUUUCCACCUCAUAGUCUUGCUGCUCACAUACCAUUUGUGUGACAUUUUCCAGUUCCAGCGAUGCAGAGAGAGACACUGAUUUAUUUAGCUAGUAACGCUUAUCUUUAUUCGAGCACAGCUUUGCGCACAAGCUCUGCCAUAUAUUGCUGGGCCUUUGGCUGGUUAUUCCCCUGGGACGUGUGGCUCGAUGAGGAGAGUCAGGUAACAUUGGGAAAAUCCUAUUUAAGACAUUAAAAAUCACCCCAAGUCCCGCUGCUCAGGAAUAAACACAGUUCGUGUUUUCAUGAUUUUUUUUUAAACUCACUUUUGUGAUUUGUGUGUAUCUACGCAUGUGUAUGCAUGUGGGAAUAUGUAUCUUAAAAAUUGGGGCAGGGAGUUCCCAUCAUGGUUCAGUGGUUAAUGAACCGACUAGUAACCAUGAGGAUGCGGGUUCGAUCCCUGGGUUAAGGAUCUGGCGUGGCUGUGGCGUAGGCCAGCAGCUACAGCUCCUCCGAUUUGACCCCUAGCCUGGGAACCUCGAUAUGCUGUGGAUGCAGCCCUAAAAACAAACAAAAAUGGUCCCCCC
rnacentral:lncRNA from 1 species